UCACAGCUUGUUAAGCAAGUCCUGCACUGUCAUAUGUAUUAACCGAAAAAUACUCGUAUAUUUGUUGUCACUGCACUGGCGUUGGCCUCGCAGGUGCCACCGAAACAUUUCUGCUACGUGCAAGGUUUCGCAGAGGACCCAAAAAAAAAAAACACGAAAUGCUACUGUUCUUCAGAGCGACAGUAAGUUGAGCUACAAUGCAUGGAUUCAUCGUGAACGAAGAUAUCUGUGAGUAAAUAUGUACCACCAUAUAUGAAGACAACCUUGUCAUUUUUGGGCAUCGCUGAAUGUUUUUAUGACUCUUGGUGAUACUUACCCUGGAUGUGUUGAAACAAACGCUACACCAACUAAAUUAUGACUUCUGUAUUGAUGGGGUUAUUUGCCAUUUUUCGUAUCACUGAAGAUGAAGUCAAACGAUUAGUUUUUUUUCUUCACCUUGGAGACUUCAAAGAAAAGAGAAGGUCACACAACUUAAUAAAGCACUUGUGAACU